CUCGAACCCAGCCCUUUUCUAACUUUUCUUAAAAAUGGGAACAAGGUGCUACUGUUAAAUGAACAGUAAACUAAUCCGAAGUUAUUGUGCAAGAGAAGAAAAUGGCGUCAUUUUUUGUACCCUUUUCUUUUUUAUUAUUUUCGGCUGAUAGCAUACCUAAUACCAUACCAUUUCCAUUUUUUUCCCUCCAACGACCAUUCCUAUGCUUUUCUUCUGACUUGAUUUGAUGGAGGCGAAAGAAAACCAUCGAGAAAAUUAAACAAUGACUACGCCACUGUUCUUCAUCCUUUUGCGGUUUGGGUCGACACUCUUUCAUCUGGGUAUGAUUUGGUGCACGUUUUCAUAUUCAUAUGCUCAAAUAUUUUUCUAAUUAUUGCUCUAUAUGAAUAUUAUUUCUUUUGUAGGUUGUUCCAAAUAUUCAAAGUGAGUUUCCGAUUUAUGGAUUUAAUUGGUUUUAUUUGUUAAUUUUUUGUUGUAAUGGUAGUUUUGUGCAUUUAUUAUUGUUACCAGAAGCAUCCAGUGAAGUUUGCUGGGGCUUGACUUGUGCAGUGGUAAGUGAUUCUGUUCUCCAUUCAUUUUUUUUAUUUCAUGUCUUCUUUUAUAAAAAAAUUGCUAAUUAAGAUAGAAGUUUUGGAUAUCAUCUUGUUAUUGUAGUUAUAAAUUGUUGAUUGGAGUAUGAGUUGCAAAGAAAUUUAGGAAGCCUUCUUUUACUAGAAAUAAACUUUAAGUUGUGGCUUUAUGACAAAAUUUCACGUUGUCAUAUCUUGGUGUCUUGAACUAUCCUUAUUUUUUAACUAUUACAAAUUCUCUUCAAAUAAUGAAUAGGUAAAUUCUCAGAUGAUAUUUCUAAGCCAAGUGAAAAAAAAAACAAGGAAGACGAAAUGGGUAAGAAUGGCCUCGCCUUCCACACCAUUUUCAAAAUAGAGUUUAUUGUAAAAGAAAAAAAUUAGGAUCUUCUCCAAACUCUAUGAAGAGUUUGGCUUCCACCAUUUUCAAAAUGAGUUUGUGGUAAAAAAAAAAAAAAUUAUGAUCUUUUCCAAACUCUCCAGAGAGUUUGACUUUCCAAACGGUUUGGAGAGUUUGGACAAACUCUCUAUUGUAAAAAAAAAAAAAUAAUAAUAAUACGACGUUCUUCAAACUCUCCGGAGAGUUUGGAUCCAAACUCUUUGGAGAGUUUCUCCAAACUCUGCAAAUAGUUUGGAGAGUUUGGACAAAUUCUCCAAACAGUCCAAAUCGUGCAUUUAGUUUUGCUAAUUUUAUUGUAGAUGUUAGAAAAAAAAAUUUGCUGCGAAGUGUGCACAUGCAAAGUAUGGAGUUGCUCCUCACUGUGCGGAGUAACUUCGCACACUUUGUAUGGAACAACUCCGCACUUUGUUGGGAGCAAAGUGCAGAGUUGCUCUACUCUCCAAACUGUUGGAGAGUUCGGAUCCAAACUGAACUCCAAUCUCUCCAAACAAUUUGGAGAGCUCCAAACUCUCCAAAACAGCUUGGAGAGGCAUAGAUUUUUUUAAUUUUUUUUAAAUCUAUUAAUAUCAAACUCUCCAAAUAGUUUGGAGAGUUGUCUCCAAAAUCUCCAAACAACUCUUCAAACAGCUUGGAGAGGUAUAGGUUUUUCUUUUGAAUCCAUUAGUAUCAAACUCUCCAAACAGUUUGGAGAGUUGUCUCCAAAAUCUCCAAACAGUUUGGAGAGGCAUAGAUUUAUUUUAUUUUAUUUUUUUUAAAUCCAUUACUAUUAAACUAUCCUUGCAUAGUUUUUUUUUUUUUAAUAAAGCUCUCCAAACUAUUUGAAGAGUUCAGAUUCAAACUGAGCUCCAAACUCUCCAACCAGUUUGGAGAGGAAAAUCAACGGAAUUGUGUUAGAGGAAUUCCAGUUUUAGUACAGAUGAGUGGAAAAACCAUAGAUUUUAAUCUACUUUUUUAACCCAACCAAAUAGGGCUUAGUUCGUUGUUUAUUAUUGUUAUGUGUAUUUGGAUGUCAAGAUGCCAUGUUCAACUUUAUUUUAUAAUCCCUUUGUGUAGAGUCUGAUAAAAAAAUUAAUUUCAUUUGAUGCAAUUAGUUUUCUGCUCCCAUGUUCGAAAUUCUCUCAUCUCAACUUGGACAAGUAAUUACUUUUGAGAAAAUGAUUCAAUUGUGAGGAUUAGAUAUUAACUCGCUUGCUCAUUUUAAAUUACAAUAACUAGUUUUAAUAGCCCAAGUACUGACAUUUUUGUCAUUUUUUAGGUGGUUUAUUCCUUCCAAUGUUGUUCUUGCCACCAUAUCAGGAUCCAUUAUAGGUCUCGUUGUUUAUUUUCAUACGUUUGUGCAAUAUGUUUAUUUUGAUUAUUUAUUUUGCUUUUAUAUAAGCAAAAUUUUAACAUAAUCAAGGCUGCAAGAGUGAAUAGAGUUAAGAGGUAUAUCUUCUUUAAGAAGCUGACAAUCACAAGGUGCGGAGUUCCGCAUUCAAGCGAACCCUCUACACUGUGCGGAAAGCAUUUUAUUUUUAUUUUUUUGAAACUAACAUUUUUCUUACUUCUUUAGGCAAAAAAAAAAAAAAAAAAAAAGAAGGAAAAAAAUUAAUUGCGAACUCUCCACACACUAUGAGAGUUCAACCGAACUCUCCACAGUGUGUUGAACUCUCAUAGUGCUCGGAGAGUUCAAAUGGGGAGAGUAUUUUUUUUUUUAUUGGAGCCAGCAUUUUCCUACUUCACACAACAUCCAUUUAUCUUUCUUCUCUUCUAAAAUUUUCAACCCCAUUUUUUUCUUAUAAAAGUUGGCGAGUUUUGAUUUAGAAUUUUUAGUGAUGUUUGAUUUUUUAUUUUCUGUUGUUGAAAGGUAAAUAGCAUAUAUUUCUUGUUUGUGAUUAUACUACUAUUUUAGCUCAUUGAUGUUAUCUUCAAGGUGGUUAGUCAAAUAAAUAUAUAGUUAAAUACUUCAGCUGAAAAAAUAUGGUAAACUAAAAAAAUAAAUAACCAAAUAGUAUUUAAAGCUGAAUCUCCUCACACAAUAUGAGAGUUCAAGCGAACUCUUUGCGCUGUACGGAGAGCAUUUUAGUUUGCAAGCACACUCGCAUGAUUGGUUUGCUAACUCAUUUAAUUCUUCACCAAAUAUAGAUUUGUUGUUUAGAUUUUUUUUUAAAAAUAAUCAUGAUAUAGCAAUUAAAAAAAUAAUUAAUUUCGUAAUUCUCACUUAUUUACUAAUUUAAAGGGUUAAUUUCACAAACGGUCACUGAACUUAAGAGAAAGUUACAAAACAGUCACUGAAAUUUAAAACUUUCAUUAACGGUCACUUAAAUUUUGGGACGCUUUAAAAAAAGGUCACUUAAGUUUAAAAACUUUCAGAAACGGUCAUUGAUGUUCAAAAAUAUUUUUUCAGUUUUUUGGGCUACUUUUGCAGCAACUUUUUGGUCACUUCCGACCUCCGAUACCGUCAAAUUUAGAUACCGUUGGAAAGUCUACAAUGUCUUCUUUAAUUACCACUCAAAAUCUCUCUGUAACUCCAAGGGUUUAUUUACAAUUUCUACACUAAUAAAAACAUAAUAAAUACAAUAUUCGUGCAACGUACGUGUCAACGACUAGUAUUAAAUAAAGAAGUGUGUUUCCUAUCUCUAUGAGUUUCUAAAAGCUUUUCUUGUUCAUCCAAAGUCUUGACGACUAUUAUAACACCAAGAUGAAUAGUAAGAGUAAGAUCUCAGUCGUAUCAUAAGUAUGCUCUGCAGUUACCUCUAUUGAAGAUCAUCUACAUCAAAUCUACAUCAAAAAUUGGCACUACCGAUCAUUAGAUUCAAUAUGGAGGUCCGAUAAUCUUUUUAAUACCAAAAGUCAGGCCAUGUGUGAUUGCCCAAGAGUGUUUAUUUGCGGGCUAGAAUACUAUGUAUACCAACCUAUGUAAUACGCGGCAUUCUAGAAAGUCAAGCCCUAUGUUGUUGCCCAGGAGGGUUUAUUUGCAGAAAAAGAUAUCUCUAAACUGGAAGUUCAACAAUAUCUCGAAAUUGUGAACUACAUGGCUGACUUUUUGAACCUUACAUUUAAAAUAUCAAUUUCAAAAAUUAGGUUUAAAUUUUUUUUUUUUUUUUAAUGGUAUAUACCUUAUCACCCAAGUCUCUUCCCCAUUAGGCCUUCUCCAAAGGAGAUAACAAAAUACCGAAAUGCAACAAAAAAAAAAAAAGGUGCAAAAUAUCUCCAAUGCAGCAUUUGGUGCAAAGUCAAUUUUAUCCUUUGUUUAUAUUUUUUAAAUAAAUUGAUUAAUGGUAUUUGUGUCAUUUAUGAUAUAUAUUUUUAAUACAAUAUUUUUAUUAUAAUUAUUAUUAUCUUGAAUAUUAUUAUUAUGUGAAUUUAUAAUAAAUUCUAAUAACGUGAAG
rnacentral:lncRNA from 1 species